UGGGGAAUUUUGGACAAUGGGCGCAAGCCUGAUCCAGCAAUGCCGCGUGUGUGAAGAAGGCCUUCGGGUUGUAAAGCACUUUUGGCAGGAAAGAAAUCGUGCGUGCUAAUACCAUGCGCGGAUGACGGUACCUGCAGAAUAAGCACCGGCUAACUACGUGCCAGCAGCCGCGGUAAUACGUAGGGUGCGAGCGUUAAUCGGAAUUACUGGGCGUAAAGCGUGCGCAGGCGGCUUUGUAAGACGGAUGUGAAAGCCCCGGGCUCAACCUGGGAAGUGCAUUCGUGACUGCAAGGCUAGAGUGUGUCAGAGGGGGGUGGAAUUCCGCGUGUAGCAGUGAAAUGCGUAGAGAUGCGGAGGAACACCGAUGGCGAAGGCAGCCUCCUGGGAUAACACUGACGCU
rnacentral:rRNA from 1 species